UUGAAUGGAGAGGGGGCGCUCGGACCCUUCCUCUCCACAGGGAAACAACUACGCCCCGAAGUGGGGCGAGGAGAGGAGGCGGUCAAACUCCAAGAGCUGCACCUGGCUCUUGAAACUUGAACUCUGGGCGCCAGCAGUAAAUUGUGCGGAUAUUUGCUGGGGCUAGUUCCAUUAGGAAGGGGCGUGGGGGGAGGGAUUGUGUCUAUAGACCGCCGCCGCGCCCCCCACCCCAAGGCCACGGCCUACGCGUGUGACCCCAAGGCUUGGCAUCUACCACGUCGAGGCUGGGGGCCCUGGGGUCUCCCAGCGCUUAGCCACGCCGCCUAAGACUUCCUGUUGUGAGAUGCGCGCCGCGUCGCCAUGGAGACCUCUGAGGGGCCAGGGAGGUCGCGCAGCAGAAGGGGAAGGGAGGGAGCCCAGGGGACGUUCGAGCCCUUCCUUCGGAGGAUAGGGCUUCGAGUCACUCAUCAGCUAGAAAAGCAUCCCUUCUCCUGCCCUGAUGAUUCCUAAGGGAUUUCCACGGGGAUCUUCCUACGCGGGGUGUGGUGGGUGCUGAAAUCCCUCCCCGAACUGCCUGGGCAAAGGUGCAGGGCCCUGCGGUGUUCAGUGGGUGCCUGCUGUGAUAGGAAUCCUUUCAAGAGCUGGCGACAGGGCAGUGAAAAGGAAAGACAAACAUUUCGUCAUUGUGCAGAGAUGGUUCCAACGUGGGGGGACCGAUAAGAAACAAAAAUAUAUGGGUGAGGUGGGAGCCAUGGAGGAGGGACAGCCCCAGCUCCAGUGUUUACAGGCACCCUCCUGAGACAGCAGGAGCUAUGUCCCAGGGCCAGGGAGGACAGGAGGCCAGAGAGGAGGUGACUACUCUAGUCGAGGAAAAGGAAAGCGGAGGCUCCCCAGCCCUUCGCUGAAGUUGCCAGGAAGGGCAAGGCUUCCUCCCGGGUGCCAGGCAGUCUUGGGCAGUCCAGUGAGUGGACCCACUACAGACCAGAGGCCGCGGACUCGUGUCCCGCUUUGUGGCCUGGCCCCUGCUCUCCCUUCACUCUGAGCUGUGGCGUGGCCACCCCGCCCUUCCUGGCAGCUUCAGUGAAUUUCUUUUGUCCCCGAGCAUUCCGAACAUGCUGUUCCUCUCGCCCAGAAUUUCCUUCCCACCGCUUUCACAGGAGGUUCUCAGAGCAUUUCAUCCACAAGGUUGUGACACAAGGAGGAGCAGAUUGGGGUUCGGAUCCAGGCUCUGACAACUUAGCGGCUGUUUCAGUGGACGUUCUCCCCAAAAGCAGCCCCUGGAACCAAACUUGGUGUUCUGGCGGUCUAUACCUGGGAUGGGGGUUUGGGGGCAGUCGGGGAAGGCAACCAGGGAAGCUGUGGGUUAGUAUGGAGACCUCCUUUGGGGGCCACUGUGGUUCAGUCUCCCUGAGGAACCCCUUGGAGAUGGGCGGACUUUUUACGCCAAUCCCGUGCCUCGCUGGCUGGGUCGAAGCUCCUCCAGGAAUGUCAGCUCCCUGAUACUUCAUUACUCCAUAUGUACAUUUCUAUUCAUUUAUUUAAACAGUUUUGGGGCGCCUGGGUGGCGCAGUCGGUUAAGCCUCCGACUUCAGCUCAGGUCACGAUCUCGCGGUCCGUGAGUUCGAGCCCCCGCGUCAGGAUCUGGGC